rnacentral:sRNA from 1 species
CCACAGGCAGCUCUAACGAAGCCUUCCCUGAGUUCUGGGGAGGUGAGUUCCCAGAGGAUCAAACUCCCUGCAAAGGUAUGGCUGAAUAACCAUUUGCUAAAGAGGUUAGGCAUGUGACUCACGG